rnacentral:rRNA from 1 species
UACGUAGGUGGCAAGCGUUGUCCGGAAUUACUGGGCGUAAAGGGCGCGUAGGCGGUUCUUUAAGUCAGGCGUGAAAGCCCUGGGCUCAACCUGGGAGUGGCGCUUGAUACUGGAGGACUAGAGAGUGGGAGAGGUUGGUGGAAUUCCCAGUGUAGAGGUGAAAUUCGUAGAUAUUGGGAAGAACACCGGUGGCGAAGGCGGCCAACUGGACCAUUUCUGACGCUGAGGCGCGAAAGCGUGGGGAGCAAACAGG